rnacentral:rRNA from 1 species
UACGUAGGGGGCAAGCGUUGUCCGGAAUCAUUGGGCGUAAAGCGCGCGUAGGCGGCCAGAUUAGUCCGGUGUGAAAGUCAGAGGCUCAACCUUUGAAUGCCGCUGGAAACUGUCUGGCUUGAGUCCGGAAGGGGCGAGUGGAAUUCCUGGUGUAGCGGUGAAAUGCGCAGAUAUCAGGAGGAACACCAAUGGCGAAGGCAGCUCGCUGGGACGGAACUGACGCUAAGGCGCGAAAGCGUGGGGAGCGAACAGG